rnacentral:lncRNA from 1 species
CUUUACUUUAAAAAAUAAAUAAUACUACUGAUAUUGAUUACUGCACUGUUGGGAAAAACCCUGCAAGGCAUUUCACUGUACUUGUGCAUGUGACAAUAUAAACUUGAUUAGAAAAGGGUAGAGGAGGAGAAGAUGAGGAGGUAGAGAAGAUGAGGAGGAAUAGAGAGAAGCUGAGGAGGUGGAAUAAAGAAGAUGAAGAGAAAUAGAGAGAAGAUGAGGAUUAGAGUGAAGAUGAUGAGGAGGUGGAGAGGAGGAAAAGAGAGAAGAUGAGGAGGAAUAGAGAGAAGAUGAGGUGGAGAGGAGGAAUAGAGAAGAUGAGGUGGAGAGUAGAAAUAGAGAGAAGAUGAGAAGGUAGAGAGGACAAAUAGAGAGAAGGUGAGGAGGAAUAGAGAAGGAAUAGAGAAGGAGGGUUAGAGAGAAGAUGAGGAGAGAAGGAAUGGAGAGAGGAUGAGGAGGAAUAGAGAAGAUGAGGGGGAGAGGAGGAAUGGAGAAGAUGAGGAAUAGAGAGAAGGUUGAGGAAUAGAGAAGAUGAGGAGGAAAGAGAAGAUGAGGAGGAAUAGAGAGAAGGUGAGGAGGAAUAGAGAGAAGAUGAGGAGGGGGAGAAGAGGGAGAAGAGGAAUAGAUAUAGGUUCAGGAAGUGGAGAGUAGGAAUAGAGAAUAUGAGGAGGGAUAGAGAGAAGAUGAGGUGGAGCGUAGGAAUAGAGAGAAGAUGAGGAAGUGGAAUAGCGACGAUGAUGAGAUGGAGGAUUAGAGAAGAUGAGGGGGAACAGAGAGAUGAUGAGGUGAGACGAGGAAUAGAGAGAAGAUGAGGAGGGAUGUGCGAGGUAGUAAUGCAUCAUCAUCAUGACUUACAUUUUAGUCAUUUAGCAGACGCUCUUAUCCAGAGCGACUUACAGUAGUGAAUGCAUACAUUUCAUAAAAAAAUUU